GUUUCUUCUGAACACAGAUUUAGCACGCUGCUGUGGAUGAAAUGCUGAAUAGAUUCGAUUUUGGGGUUGCAUUAGGGUGGAUCCAUCCUGCGGUACCGUUUCCAUCAGCCGCCUUAAACUGCAUUAAAAAGAGGAACGAAACUCUGCCCUCUCUGGUCGGUGAGUGUUACUACUAUAGUCUGUGGCAAAAGGGAAAGGCAACACUGUGUUUUAAUCUUUGGAGUUCAGCCAGCCAUGGAAGGAGAAAGAUUUAUUACUUAGUUCCUGGAAAUCAGCAUUGGGUGGACUUUGGUUAUAUUAUUACUGAUGGACGUAUGGAAGUGUGAGGGGCCCGUCACUGACUCAGCAGCAGAGCGCGGUGGGUGUUUCUUCUCUUUCUCUGGACCGGGGUGAACGUGGAAGGGGUGUGGACCACUCUCCCAAAUGGACAUGCUCUGAGUACACGAGAAAACUAUUUGGUGUGUAAAUGUGAGUAAUUCUGCACACAUUUUUUGGGACUGAGUUUCGUAAUACCUUUAUCGUAACUCACGGAAAGCACCAAAAUGUCUGCAUAUGAGUCAUUGGAAAAUAGAAUGACAUCUGGGAACCAUACAAUCUAAAACGCCACAUGCCACAGUACUUGCUGAACUUUAUGGGUUUAUGAUUGGUCAACAAUAGCCAACAUCUUGUUUUCGGUGCUGCCUUAAAACGUUGUACGUACAAUUAAUCUUAUUAGAAAAUGCAUAAUAAGCUUUUAACAACUUUUAGAAAGUAGAAAGAAAUGCAUUUCAUAUGGUUUUGUUCAUCUGCCACGGUAAUAAAGAAAAGAUUUUGAAAAAGGC